rnacentral:rRNA from 1 species
UACGUAGGGUGCAAGCGUUAAUCGGAAUUACUGGGCGUAAAGCGUGCGCAGGCGGUUGUGUAAGACAGAUGUGAAAUCCCCGGGCUCAACCUGGGAACUGCAUUUGUGACUGCACGGCUGGAGUGCGGCAGAGGGGGGGUGGAAUUCCGCGUGUAGCAGUGAAAUGCGUAGAGAUGCGGAGGAACACCGAUGGCGAAGGCAGCCCCCUGGGCUAACACUGACGCUCAGGCACGAAAGCGUGGGGGAGCAAAACAGG